rnacentral:lncRNA from 1 species
CCUUCUUCUUGUUGUCUGCGAGGAACCGAACCUACAUACAAGCAGUGAAAAGAUCUCUGCGCAAGAACCUACAAGAGAAGCCAAGCAAUAUUUGUUCAGGACUCUGUAUCGGUGAGGGGAAUAUUACAGAGUACAGAGCACUCUGUUUAUCAGAGCAAAAUGUAAAGCAGAUAGCAGGCUGGAUAGCAGUAGCAUAGCAGUAAAAGUUCCAAGUUAUUCUUGUUCCAAGAUUAUAGUCUACAGUUUCAAUUUCCCUUUUCAAUCAUUUCCACUGACUAUAGAUGAGACCAGCUCCAAAUACUGAAUGAACACUGCAGCAUUGCACACUAGUGUGCAUCUCAUGCAAUUUCCCAUUGUCAAGCACCGGGAGCUAAACCCUGGCCUGAAUUGCUGAUAAAAUCACUUAGGCGACCCGCCGUAGCCGAAACUAGCGAUUCGCACGGAAGGGAAUACGCAGCCGAGCUGUAUGUGAUAGGAGCCUACGGACUGUGACGACCACAGAAGGAAGGAGGCAGGGGAGGAUGGAUUACCGGCGCAGCGAGGGAGUCGGGGCCUCGAGGGUAGCCGGACUCGGGAGCUGGUUUGGUUGCUCCCGGAUCGGAGGGCGGACGGCGGAGAGUCGGAGCCUGGAUGGGGAGGGGAAGGGGCGGAGUUAGGAUCUUGACGAAAGCUUCUCUGCUCGUCUCCGUCGGUUGGGGAGAGACGAGACGGACCACACGGGCGUCCCUAUGUCUCGCGAGGCCACAGGCUCUUUUUCUGUUUUUUCUCUGUUCUACUAGUUUUUUGCUUUAUUUUUGUACUUUUAUUUACACUUUAAAAUAUUAUAAAUAUAUACUAUAUUGCAAGAAACAAAAAAGGCAGCCCAGUGUAUGUAGCUCCUGCUUGCACAGGGUCCGAGAAAGGGUCCGACCACUUGACUUGAACCCGUGACCUCAUGAUCACAAGGCAGUAGCUUUACCACUACGGCAAAGCUCCCUUUCAUAUUGCAAAAACACUCUAUAAAAAAAUAUUUGAAAAAUGUUGAACAAGUAUUUAAAAAAUGUUGAAUGAGUAUUUGAAAAAUGUUGAAUAUGUAUUUGAAAUUUUUGAAAAAGUAUUUGGAAAAUGUCGUACAAGCAUUCAGACAAUGUUGAACGUGUAUAGAAAAAUGGACGCGUCUAGUGGGCGGCCGGUUGCCCACUAGUGCGAUCGAGCGGCCGGCGAAAAAAGGUAAACCCCUGUCCCCCGCGGUACAGAAAAGGAAGGGGACAUGCGGCCACCAAACCAAGCAGAUCGAGCGCCCAAACCCCAACAGAAUCGCUCCCCCCCCUCACGUGGCCAGCUGUCCCCAGCUAGCACCGCCCUUUUUCCUCCUUCUGUAUAGCCGCCAUGGCAAUCCAAGAGUAGAAGAAACUACUUCAAGAGCCAUAUCAACGGUAGAAGAGGGUCCAAGGCCCUUCUCCACGCCAGAAGGGAUCCAAGGGCCUUCUUCCUCCUCCUGAUCAGGCAAGUAAAUCCCCUUUGCCCCUCUUCCUCCUCCUGUAGUGCAUCUGUAAACCCCCUUAUCCAUGGAUCUAUCAGCAAAUCCAUGGAGGAGCUGGACAUGCAGAAGGACUGGAUCUGCCACAUCCCCCUAUUGUCAAACAUCACACCCCCACCCCCACGCCCCCACAAGUGCAUCUGCACACUAAACAUGGUUUGAGAUCAAGUUUAGUAGAAACUGAACAUGUUUUCUAAACUGUAGGUGUUCAGCUAGCCAACUAAGACAGAUUUUCUGGCCAACUAAAACAUGUUUCUAGCUAACUCAAUAAGCAAAAGUAGCCAAAAACUAAAAUGCAUUCUACCAAGUUGUAGUUAUGUUUACACACAUUGACUAUCCAAAGAGUAUGUGUAACUAAAAAUGCAUAUAUGUGCAACUGAACAUAGAUCUCAGCCAACUGAAUCAUGUGUUCUAGCAACUCAACAUGCAUGCUAGGCAGACUGAACAUGUAUCAUGAACAUAUAACCUGCUUUCUGAGUGAACACUUUAGAUAGGCUUUAGAAAAGCUGAAGUAUGUGCAAUAAAAAACAUGUUUUCUGGCCAACUAAACAUGCAUGUUGGCUAAACUGAAAAAUUAUAUCCUGGACAACUGAGACAUCUAUUCUAGGCAACUGAACACAUUGGCUGACCAACUGAACAUGCAUGUUGGCCAAACUGAAAAAAUGCAUCCUGACCAACUGAGAUAUCUAUUCUAGCCAACUGAACACAUUGACUGUCCAACUGAACAUGCAUGCUGGCCAACUUUAAAAAUGCAUCUUGGCCAACUGAGACAUCUAUUCUAGCCAAAACCAAAAAUCUGUAGUACGACAGCAAAAACACAAGAACUUUUAUCCAUAACUAAUGAAGCCACAAACCAUAUUAAAAUAGUCACGCAUAUAAUCUUGUCCCACACAUAUAUUCUGGUCCCACACCUAUUGCAAAACUAUAGUGUAAAAAUAUAUUCAAUAUACUAGAAGUAAAAACAGAAACGACUAUAAUCUGUCAUCCAAUUCUUCUUUCUUCUUUCACCUGAAUUUUCCAUCUCAAAUGUAGCAUCAAAUUAUGUCCAAAUUAUCUGCAGAAAAAUCUGAAUCAGCUCUUUGCCAAAUAGAAACCUGCGGAUCAUUGCAACAAACAGAGGGAAAAAGUCAGAAAACUCUGUAGUAAAAAGAAGACAUGUUCUUGCCAACUAUUUACUGCAAACUGUGCAACUAACAUAACUACUCUGUGCAAACAAAAAAAUGCAUAACUGUUAUAAUAAAGAUUUUGCUAUAGUCAUGUAACUUUUGCAACUAAGAUUGUCAUAAUGGUGUGCAAUUGCCUAUUUACUAAGUUUUUAGGUUGUCUGAAACACUCUUUCGUGGUUAACAACUGAUGACAUCACUUUAUUUUUUUAUGUGCAGGGACUGUGUGGCAGUAUCCAAAAAAAGGAAAAAAAUGCUUGAUAUCAAUGAGCUUCCUCAUGAUAUGGAUCAGCAGCAACCUAGCAUACCACAAGGAAAUUGGACAGAAAAUGGGUGAUCUGUUUACUACACGCAGACAAGUCGUGGUGUGAACCCUAUGGGCCAUGACAAUGUGGCAGGACAAUCAUCAACCCAUGAUGCCCCUGUAGUGGUGUCUUUGCGGUCAGAGAGUCAUACUUUUGAUGACACAGGAACCGCGGCAAAUGUUCCUGGUCCAACCAGGACUGAGCUAGGAGUUGGGGCUGUUGAUGGUGUUGGGCAAGGAGAAGAAGGAGAGGAUGAGGCUGGUUCUCAACCUAUGAAACCCUAUGUUGGCAUGAGGUUUGACAGCUCAAAUUGCUAAGGAACACUACAACAGCUACGCCCUACGGAUGGGUUUCUCUGUCAAGAUGAACUCCUCUAGGUGGACACCUCACACCAAUGUAUUGGUAAAACAGCAGUUUUGCUGCAACAAGUUCAAGAAGCCCAAAGUUGAUGAUGGAGGACUUGAGGCUCCUCUUGUCCUAGACCAUAUUCCAGAUCCAAACUUGUUGAAAGUGAUGAGGAAAUGGAAGAUGAACCUCCAAUCUUUGCUGAAGAGGAGGCUGGUCCUAGUAAGAAAAAGAAGAAACAGAAACGCGAGACAAUAAAAUAGACUCAGUGCAAGACAAAAAUGUUGGUGAAGCUGAUAGAUGGGCGAUGGAAGGUGACGCACUUUGUUCGUGACCAUAAUCAUCCGCUGGUGAACAAACCUUCGUUGUCCAAAUACUUGAGAUCCCACCAAGGCAUCUCACUUGAUGAAAAAGAGAUUUUGCGCAUCUUGUAUAACUGCAACUUGACUACAGGUGUGUUUCUAUAUCCCUUACAUAAUUAAGUUUCCCUCUAGACAGUCCAGUGUGCAAUUAUUAUGGUACUCCUAUGCAACUGAAAUGUCUUGAUUAUGCAACUGGUGUCCAACUUCCCAUGUUGUUUCUAUAUCACUUUGGUGUGUUAUGCAACUAGAUUACCUUCACUGUGCAACUACACAAUGUCAUGUAUGCAAAGCGCAAAGUGUUUUUAAAAAGGUGCAGCUAGGUGUCCGUUUCCUGCAAUUAUCUUCUGUGCCAACACAUGUCCUAUUACUGUGCAGCUGGAUGUGCGCAUUCGUGCGACUAAAAAAUGAUAUAUUGUGUUUUUGUAUUAUGCAGGAUGUAUGAUGCAUAUAAUGGCAGAGUUCUACGGAUCUGAGAUGAUGGUGCCAUUCGGACCAAACGCAAUAACAAAUCUGUGUACAAGUUUCCGUAGAGAUGACAUAAAGGAGGGUGACAUGAUUGAGAGAAUUGCGCACUUCAAAGAUAUAUAGAAAACCGCUCCAGACUUCUUCUAUAAGGUAAAAUAUGAUGAAGAGGACAGGGUUGUCAACAUAUUUUGGGUGGAUGGCUUAGCUCGAAAAGCGUAUGCUGAGGCGUACCACAAUUGCAUAUCGUUUGACACUACCUACAUGACCAACAUGUAUAAUAUGCCGUUCGCACCCUUCAUUGGAAUAAACCGACAUGGCCAAUCUUUCAUGCUCGGUUUCGCGUUUGUGAGGCAGGAGUUGGCAUUGAUCUUUGAUUGGGUCUUCCAAGCAUUCCUAGAGGCUAUGGGUGGCAAACCUCCUGACAACUUCAUAACCGAUCAGGAUGGUGCAGUGAGGCAGUCAAUAAAGAACAUCUUUCCAACCAUCGUGCAUCGCUGUUAUUGAUGGCACAUCAUGAAGAAGGCACAGGAAAAGGUUGGUUGGUUGUGCCGGAAUCCAGGGCUCUCUAAUGAUUUCAACUACUGUGUUGACUUCAGCUUCACUCCAGAUGAGUUUGAACAGAAUUGGGCUGGGUUAAUGAUGAAGUACGAGGCUAUGACACACACACACACACUUUGAGAAGUUGUAUGAAUACAGGUCAACUUGGGUGCCAUGCUAAUUCAAACACAGGUUCUUCCCCUUCCUACAGUCUACAUAGUGUAGUGAGGGAUUCAAUGCCGUCCUAAAAAGAUAUGUGAACCCACACAACUCGAUGCUGAACUUCGUCAAGCAAUAUGAAAAAAUUCAGAACCACAUCCUUGCCAAGGAAGGCUACAAUGAUUACAGGACACAACACCUUGAGAUUGAGCUGUGGUUCAAAUUCCCAAUAGAGAAGCAAGCUUACGAAACCUACACUAGGGACCUUACCACAAGUUCAGAGAAGAGUUUGAGCUGAUUGGACAUUAUAAUGCGUUCCAAGUUGGUGCUGAUAUUUUUGAGCUCAGACCGAAUCAGGAAUUUGUUGCCAAAUAUGGUUCUCGAAACUACUUGGUGCAAGAUAGGGUGGAGGAGGGUUCCUAUUUGUGUGAGUGUUGUAAAAUGGACAAGGACGACAUCCUUUGUUGCCACAUCUUCAAGGUGUUCACUCAUAUUGGAGUUGAUGUCAUAUCGGAAAGGUACCUGCUAAGACGGUGGAUACCUACCGUUGUACCUAGUGCGCUAGGGACUGGGUAUGAGCAACCGGAUGAAAUGCCUCCUCAAUCAAAGAAGCAGAUAAGGGACAGGAACAUGAUAUACAAUUUUCGGAAACUAGCAAAGUUUUCUAGUGGCUCUGAUGCAACACAAGCUAUUGUAUACAAGCAUAUGCGCGGAGCACGUACCGAGAUCGGCCACCUGAACAAGUCCAAGAAAAAGAAAAAACCGGCUGCCGCUACAGUGCCAUCAGAUGAUGGCAACCUGCUACAUCUUGAGCUUGUGUUGGUUUUCCUUGAAGAGGAAAGGGUGAUGCAACAAAGUAGCGUAAGUAUUUCCCUCAGUUUUUGAGAACCAAGGUAUCAACUCAGUAGGAGGCUUCUGAACAAGUCCCACGAACCUACACAAACAAACAAAGAACUCGCAACCAACGCGACAAAGGGGUUGUCAAUCCCUUCACAGCCACUUGCGAAAGUGAGAUCUGAUAGAGAUAAUAUGAUAAGAUAAAUAUAUUUUUGGUAUUUUAUAAUAUAGAUGCAGAAAAUAAAGAUGCAAAUAAAAGUAGAUUGAAAGCAAAUAUGAUAAGAGAUAGACCCGGGGGCCAUAGGUUUCAUUAGUGGCUUCUCUCAAGAGCAUAAAUAUUACGGUGGGUGAACAAAUUACUGUCGAGCAAUUGAUAGAAAAGCGAAUAAUUAUGAUGUUAUCUAGGCAUGAUCAUGUAUAUAGGCAUCAUGUCCGCAACAAGUAGACCGACUCCUGCCUGCAUCUACUACUAUUACUCCACACAUCAACCGCUAUCCAGCAUGCAUCUAGAGUAUUAAGUUCAUAAGAACAGAGUAACGCAUUAAGAAAGAUGACAUGAUGUAGAGGGAUAAACUCAAGCCAUAUGAUAUAAACCCCAUAUUUUUAUCCUCGAUGGCAACAAUACAAUACGUGUCAUGCAACCCUUUCUGUCACUGGGUAAGAACACCGCAAGGUUGAACCCAAAGCUAAGCACUUCUCCUAUGGAAAGAAAGAUCAAUCUAGUAGGCCAAACCAAACUGAUAAUUCGAAGAGACUUGCAAAGAUAACUCAAUCAUAUAAAAGAAUUCAGAGAAGAUUCAACUAUUAUCCAAAGAUAAACUUGAUCAUAAACCCACAAUUCAUCGGAUCUCGACAAACACACCGCAAAAAGAGAUUACAUCGAAUAGAUCUCCACAAGAGAGGGGGAGAACAUUGUAUUGAGAUCCAAAAAGAGAGAAGAAGCCAACUAGCUAAUAACUAUGGACCCGAAGGUCUAUGGUAAACUACUCACAACUCAUCGGAGGGGCUAUGGUGUUGAUGUAGAAGCCCUCCGUGGUGGAUUCCCCCUCCGGCAGAAUGCCGGCGACGGCUCCAAGAUGGGAUCUCGCGGAUACAGAAGGUUACGAUGGUGGAAAUUGUGUUUCGGUUGCUCCCUGGAUGUUUUCGGGGUAUGUAGGCUUAUAUAGGAGGAAGAAGUACGUCGGUGGCCGCCCGAGGGGCCCACGAGACAGGGGCAUGCCCUAUAGGGGGGGGGCCCUACCCUCUCAUGGUCGCCUCGGCUGCUUCUUGACUUGCACUCCCAAGUCCUCUGGAUCACGUUCAUUCCAAAAAUCACGCUUCCGAAGGUUUUAUUCCGUUUGGACUUCGUUUGAUAUUCCUUUUCUUCAAAAUACUGAAAUGGAAAAAAACAGCAAUACGGGCUGGACCUCCGGUUAGUAGGUUAGUCCCAAAAAUGAUAAUAAUGUAUAAAAUAAAGCCCAUAAACAUCCAAAAUAGGUAAUAUAAUAGCAUAGAACAACAAAAAUUUAUAGAUACAUUGGAGACGUAUCACAACCCUCGAGGACCUUCUCCACCUCCAGACCCUACACGGCAUGCUCCGCCACGUCCUCCCCCGCCUGGCCCAACAAGCAGUGGCACGCGUGCUCCUCCCAAUAGCCCUACUGGGAUUACUCAGGAGCCUCAUCAUCCAGGUAAUCGCCUGCCCUAACACCCCAUCUAACUAGGUGUGUAACUUCAGUUACACACUCAUGGUGCCCAGUUGCACAGAACAUGCUACCCAGUUGCGUACGCUAUGUUAGUUCGAGCAUAAAGAUAAACAACUAACUUUUUUUUUCUGUUCUGGCUAUAGUUGAUGGCAACCCUCGAGGACCUCCUCCACCUCCAGGCCCUACACUGCAUGGUCCUCCACCUCCUCCCCCGCCUGGCCCAACAAGUAGUGCCCCGCAUGCUCCUCCCAAUGGCCCUAUAGGGAGUACUCAGGGGGCUCGUCAUCCAGGUGAUUACCUGCCCCAACUCCCCAAGCAAGUAGGUGUGUGAUUUCAGUUGCACACAUCAUGGUGCCCAGUUGCACAGAACAGGCUACCCAGUUGCGCGCGCUCUGUUGGUUCGAGCAUCAAGACAAACAACUAACUUGCUUUUUCCUGUUCUGGCUACAGGUGAUUACCAUCCAAGUGCCAUGACGGGCCGUGCUACUACAGGUUUUCUUUUAAACUUAAUUUUCACAUAGCAACCAGUUAGUUGCACAACAUAAGUUGUGUGGUUGCAGAGAACAUCAGUCCUGGUUGCGCAGAAAAAAAAACUAAACUCUUUAUAUGAUUAUUCCAUAGGUGAUCAAACACAACCUCGUGAUGGUCCUGCCCCGUUGGAGGCUGCAUCCCCAGCACAAGCCUAUGAUGAUUUUGUGCCUAGGGAUCCUCCAAAGUCUACUACAAAGGGUAGGGAGAAGAGUCGAUGAUACAAAUCGGUGCUAGAGCUACACGGAAAGAAGAAAAACAAAUGCAGCCACUGCCAAUCUACAGAGCACACUUCUGGUGUGUGUCCACUCAGACAGCUGUGAUUCUCUUGUAUCGUUUGUAUCAAAAAAGGGAAAAGGGAACAUAAUGAUGGUUUUUGAGCAAUUUAGGGGCCAAAGUGGACACAUUCAGCAUCUAUGCUUUCUCUUCUCUAAGUUGUUUUCCUUGAAUUAGUUAAUGCACUAUGUAAAAAUGGUUGUUAUUUGUGCCUUUGUUGACAAAUCGUUUAAUAUUUAGUUGUUGAACAAUUGUAUGCCCAGUUCUCCUAAUGUGUGAACAAAAGUGAUGACAAUGAGUUGCAACGGAAUUACUACUAAUAUGCAACUACAAAUCUUUCUAAAAAUUGUGCAAACUAGCAAGGCAUUGAAAAAAGGGCAAAUAAUAAAAAGAGUACUGACCUAGUCCUUUUCGUAUCUCAGCAACUUCCUCCAUGGGGCGGAGUUGUGCGUGCUGGUGACCCAAUCAUAUGUCAGCUUCUUCCUGAUGUUGAGUGUUUCCCUGGGCUCAUAGUUGGGCAGUAGGCUCCCGUUCCACUCAGUGGUGUUAAGUAGUGUGAACAGACCACACUCAUUGCUGCAAUGGGGAAAAAGAAAAUUUGUUGGAGGCUUUUAAAACCAAUAAGACAAUGUACUCUGUGGCACUGUGCAACUAAUUAUAUGUCACUGUGCAACUACUUAUGUGGCACUGUGCAACUAAUUAUGUGGCACUGUGCAACUACUGAUGUUCAACUGUGCAACUGGCUAGAUGAUCCAUGAGAAAGUCAUAAAAAUGAAAAACAGAUUGCAAACUAGUUGUGUGUCUUAAAAAAACUAAAGAUUGUACAUGUAGGAAAUUUUUAAGACUACAGAUUGAUUGAAAAAAAUAGAGAAGAAUGUAAUGCUUCUUAUCUUACUUGCCAAUCUGCUUCGGUACGUCGAUGUCAAUAACCUGGAAGUGCUCGAUGCUCUGCUUUGGGUAAUGCUUCCUCCAUAGUUGGAGUACUGCCCCGCGAUCGUAGAGGCAAUGUUCAUCAACUCUAUGUGUUCUAGCUUCCUGUUUGAAUCAAGGACUUCGAAACGUCCGUCCCUCAAGUUGAUGUUGAAGACCCAAUAAUGUCUGCCUCCUUCACGGUCGUUUACAUUAUCGCACUCAAGCACUGGCAGCAUGACCUGCACACGUGAAUGAUUCAGACACAGAUACACGUUGUAGGUAAGAAAAAAUACUACAAAAAUGAUGAAGUUGAAACAGGUUGGCAGAAGGUAGUUGCCAACUAAUAGAUAUGUCAUGUGCAAAUGAACAUGAUGUGAGUGCCAACUAAGAGAUGGAUCAUGUGGGCAUAGCACUGACCAAGUCUUUCUUGUCGAGACGGUUCUUGUAUUCAAACUUCUUGUUUAUCUCAUUCACAUUGUGGAGCCCUUGCUGUACGUUGAUCUGCAGAAAUUAUAAACAUGCCUCAACCUCCUUUCUAUAUGAAAAGACUCCCCGGUUGGUCAACAAAAGUGGUACAAAAAAAGGAAGAGGAUACAAAGCUUUUGAAAAAUCUUACAAAAAUCCUCAGUGGCAUAACGACUUUCUUUGACCCUUCUGAUAAGUUAUCCAUGAUGUGUAUGAUUCCAGUCUCAAUAACAAUUUUUGAAAGACAUUGCUUUGGCUUCAUGGAAUAAACUAACUCCUUUAAAGAAAUGUAGAAAUUACCAUACCUGAUUAUCUCAGGGCUGCAAUUUUUUUUAAAGAAAUGAAAGACAAAGUUAGCUUGAAGGGUCACAGAAAGAAAGAAAUAUGCAUUAAAAAAACAAGAGUGUGCAACUAAAAGCACUGUUCUAUGCAACAUGCUCUGCUUGUUGUGCAACUAAGUGGGUGGUACUGUGCAACUGAAAAAGAUAUGUAUAUAGGUUGUGGGGUGUUGGUUUACUUGGUAUUAUCAUCAUUUGCUUCUGGGUGAUGCCUGACCCAAUACACGAUGGCAGCGUAAAGCUUGUUGACUGCCUCAUUGGAUUUGAAGGUCUUAUUUUUGUUGUAAUCAGUGAAUGAAGACCUUUGAGAUGCUCCGGGCCUUAUUUCCCUCCUCUGUCUUCGUGCAAUAGGUGGUCCUGAAGAACUGCUCGUGCCAACUGCUGAUUCUUCGCAUAUCGGGGUGUGGCAGCUGUCUGGUGAUCCAACAUCUGGUUGAUGAGCUAAUCCCUUGCCAGCAUCAGCAGCAACGCAUCCUCUGUUCACAGUUGCUGGGUGCAACUCAUCCUCAUCUAUGACAACCACGUUGGCUUCCCCUGUUUGUGCUACUGGAGCAAGUGCUCCAGCAGGCCCAACAUCAUCAUCUAUGCCCAGGUCAAAGGUUGGUGCAUCGCAGUACCCGUCACCAUGAUAGCUGUAAGAAUUUGAUCUGCGCAUGGGUUGAAGGCCAGGGGCAUCUCCUUUCGGCACAUUCACAGGUGCAUCGUUCGCUGACCUGGUUCACAGUAAUGUUGUGGUUGGCGGCCUGGGAGGCUUGCACCUGCUUACAAUGUUGAACACCUCCUCUUAUGUUAAUGUGUGCUGAAAAUCAGCUCUUGGUGAUGAACGCUUGCUUGGAUGCUCUGUGAUAGCUCUUGGAGAUGGCUGGCAGGUUGAUGACCUCCUUCCAUGUUUGGCAUUGAAGAAUCUCUAUGAGUUGUCACCUUGGGGCUUGCGGUUGCAGUUGUGUCUUCCUGAGCAACAGCGAUAGUUUUGACUGUGACCCGCGUGCUAAUUGACACUUCAGUUGGUACACUAGUAUCUGUAGUUGGCAUCUUUGCAGCCUGAGUUGGCAGCAAACUAGCAGAACUUGGCAUUCCUGCAUUAAUGGUUGUGGCACGUUGUUCUGUCUCAUGUCUGGACCCCACACCUUUUCUGUCCUGUUCCGCAUUUGUGCCCUUGGCAAACUUGACAAUCUUUUGCUGCUUAGAUGAUUUAGGUGGGGUUAUUGAUAGAGAAAUCUUCCCCUUGAUCUGUUGAACUUCUAUGAUGGUUGUAGGCUCAACAGGAAUUGCUGACACAUCUUGAGUGGUGGUUGGCUCUCUAAUCACUAUAGUUGGCACAACAGUUUGCGCCACAACUUCCUUCUCUACAUUUAUUUCUACAUCUGCCCUCGGCAUCUGUUGCUUGGUUUGAGGCAACUUUAGAUUCUUCUUCAUUAUAACUCAUUUGCUCUUCUGGACCACAUGAGGGUUUGCCAUACAUGCUGCCUUGCUCUUGCUGGAGUUGAUAUCUGAAAGCUGCUUCAAAUAUUUCUUGUAUUUAUCCUUCGAAUGAACUCAGUCAAGACCCUUCCUUGCUUCCUCCAUGUCAACUGGAUUCUUUUCAGCCUCACUCAAGAAGAACAGUUUCUGGUCAAUAGCAAAAUAUAUCUUGUCACAGAACUCUCGCUCAUGGAAGUCUGGCACAGGGAAAGUGGUUGGCAAAGCUGGAUUCAUGUUGCACAGCUUGAACAUAUCAAUGCUCCCCUGAGACUCUGCUUCAUCAUUUUUCUUUGACUUUGACAAAUUCUUCUCUUUCCAGCAAGUUUUGUCAAUCAAUAUCUGUAGUGUGCUCCUGCUGCUCAUUGAGUUGCUACUGCUGGCAGGGUUGGUAGAGCUCCUACUCACCUUGGUUGUGUUGCCGCCUGUACCACCAGAACCAGGGCCAUUGUCAUCGUCAUCAUCAUCGGAGUUGUCACUGCCUCCAUUGGAUCCCCUUUGAUCAUUAGGAUCAACAUCCUUGUCUUCUUCCUCGUCAUCUCCUCCCCCCUCACUGCCAUCAAUUGCUACAACUUUGUCUCCAUCUCCUUCUUUGGCCUCAUUUUCUUGUUCCUCCUCCUCUGCCUCACUAUCUUCUUCCUUUCCCUCCUCCUCUCCUUUGUCCUCUUUUUCUUUGUCCUCCUCCUCCUCUUCCUCCUCCUCCUCCUCCCCAUCUUCUUCUUUGUCCUCCUCCUCCUCUUCCUCCUCAUCCUCCUCCUCCUCAUCUUCUUCUUUGUCAUCCUCCUCUUUGUCCUCCUCCUCUGAUUCAUCCUCAUAUGUGUCCCCGUCAACUUCAACAUCUUGUGGUACUUCCAUUUCAUCAUCUUCUUCUGACUCCUCCUCAUCAAACUCUUCUUCUUCUUGUAUAGGUGAAACCCGUCUCUUCCUUUUUGGAGCACGGCGUGACGGAGCGGUUCCUUGAUGUCUGCUGUACAUAUGGAUCAGUAUUCGAUUCCUCAUCAUGAAUCUUGGCAAUUGCUUCAAUGAAGGUGCCAACCUGUUCAGUGCUGCCUUGCACAAGUCAUUGACCACUUUGGCAAUCUUUGCCCUUUUCUGCAUCAACAAAAAAAAUUGAGUACUCAUUCAAUUAGAAACAAUUAAAAAAACAAAAUGUCGGUAAAUGAUCGAAACUCCUUUAUGCAAAAGACUUACCUGUGGAUUGUAAGUGGUAAUUUGGAUGCAACGAAUGCUUGAGCUUGAAAGAGACCACCAAAUAGUGGUGUCUGCUCCGUGCCCCUAUACUCCUAUUUAAGCUGAUGUAAAAAGGAGAAAAAGAAAAGAACAAGGUUAUCAAAAUAGAUAUUGUGUUGAACGAAAACCAGAAUGUUAUAACCUGUGCAACUACAACAAAAUGUUGGGCAUACUGGAAUCUACAUGUAUGCAACUGCACAAACCAAAAAAACUGUGCACCCCAUAGGUCACCUAAAAAAAUGUUUCUGCCAACUGAUAUCACACAUCUUGCAACAAGAUAAGUAAAACUGUGCAACUUGAAACAUAUGACGUGUCAUAUAAAAAUGAACAUGUGUCCAGAUGCCAAACUAGAGCUACAAGCUGUGCAACUACAGGCAUUAUUGUGCCAACUAAUUACAAAUUUUGUGCAACUACCAAAAAGUGUCAAAAAGCUGAUCUCAAAAGCAUAUAUGCAGCUACCAAGGAAUUAAAACUGAGCAGAAAUGAAUAGAACAUAAAAAUAGCCACUGUUGAAAAAAACAAAAGGGAACUCACUUGUAAUUUGCUGAACACACCAGGAGAGAUUAAGUCCUUCUUGAUCACCUUGGCAAUUAGGUUACUGUCCCAUGCAUUCACUCGUAUCGUGCAGUUGCUUUCUGGGAUGUCAUGAAUGAGCGUGUCAAGGUAUAGGAUCUGCCGCAGAACCAAAAAAGGAAACCCAACUUCAGUUAUUAUGAGGGGUAUUUUCAUAAACUAUAACUGCACAAAAGGAAGAAAAACACAUGGAAGUGCUAGUUUUCACUCACCAUCAAGUUAUACAAGCAGCAACAAAUAGUUUGCUUCGCCUGGUCCAUGUUCCGGAAAGCUUCAUUAAUGUGUUCUGCUACAAAAAGGUAGAUGUUUGUGUUCUUAAGGUUUGGAUGAUCUAGCACGAGUCCGUAGCACUUUGGGCUUAGCCUCAGGGCCGUGGUUGGUGCUAGGAAAGUGCUGAAUGCAACCGUAAGCCAGGCCAUAAAGAAUGUGUCAUCCGUUCUUCCCGCCAUAUCCUUAAUCAUCUUGCACCAUGUAGUGAUCUGGGGAUGAGAAUCUCCACGUAUGUUGAAAGCCUCUCUGAAUCUCCUAGUUGCAUCCUUGUCAACUACAUAUCUGACUUUUUGACCCUUGUUAGGAAGAUCAAAUACCCUUUGAACACUGUCAGCAUCGACACGGAUCAUUCCCCUGCCUGGGAACACCAUUUCAGAGGUCUCUGGCUGGUAGGACUGCACCAGAAAUUUACUGAAGUCCCUUGGAAGUGUAUCUGAUAAGUUCAAGAGGCCCCCAAACAACCUUGAGACUAGCUCAGACUUCUGCGGCGGGGAUAGCGAGCUGUUGAACUUCGCAAACCGCCCUGGUGAUGCCCUUAUCCUGCCAGCUUGUGAUGGUCACUCCACAUCUUCCCGGGCAGCCACCUCAACUCCUUCACCGCUGGCCUGAUGUUGAAAAAAUAAAAAAAAUUAAACACAAGACAGAAAACUGGACUGAGAAAAAACUAGCAAUGAUCAUUUGGAUCAGUAUUGCUAAAAUUAUAUAAACAUAAAAUGGAUCAUGCCAACUAAUAUGAUGUUUUUGUGCAACUAAGAAAGCUCAUCAUGGCAACUGAAGACUACUAGUGUGCAACCUGCAAGAAAACUAAGAAAACAUACUAGACCUGACAACUACAAAAAGUUCUAGGGGAUGUGCAACGAUAAAGCAUGAUAUUGGAAAGAAGAUAACAACAACUAAAAAAAGGUUUGCAAGAAAUUGUUCAAUAGCUCAUAAACACACAAAAAAACCACAUACCUCAGCAUCUGCUACGGAAGAGGAGGCAACUCCUCCACCAACUGUUGCCUGCACAAAAAUGGUGACCAGUGAUGUCAGCUACAAAGAUGCCAACAUUUGUCAACUUCUGCGAAAACUAUAUUUACAUCAAGAUGACCAGUGUUGUCAACUACAAAAUGAUUAUUGAGCAACUAGAACAAAAUAGUGGUGCCAACGGCUGCAUAAUUUCAUCAGCGCCUAAAAAACCCGAGAAACAUUGAUAUUCAAGGAUUUACUUACCCUGGUAGAUGAUUUAGCUCGCCCUGCUGCUGCUGACGUUUAGUCCGCUUUACAACCCGAAACCGAUCAACAUCCUAAGAAAAUAAAAAAAACAUGGGCAUGGGAUUUUUUUUUAUUAUAUGACCCAAACAAAACCAAAAUAAGGUGCUUGUGUCAUCAGCAUGCCACUUACCUCAACUUCCUCUCCCUCAUGAACACUAGGCGCACGGCAUGGCUGGCAAUUAGCAACACGCUUAGUCCUCCGGCGAAGGGUCUGACUUCCAGAACCCUAAUUAAGCAACAAAAAAACAUGAAAAAAAGGACAUAAGCAUACAUGGAUAAGUUGAAAACAACUCAAAGACGCAAAAAAAAAGAGAAAAAUACAUCUCCUUCAUUGCCAUCCGCAUCUCCUCCUAUUAUAACUUUUUUUAGCCUGUGAGGGGAAUACAAGAAAAGAAAACAUAGUUAGAAGAUGCGCAAAUGAACUAGACAAAACAUAAAAGCUUGCUUUGAUCUACAGACCUCUACACAUAAGCAGAACACCCAGUGCAAAAAACUGUAAAACAUGAGGACAACCAACUACUACAGUGAUGCAGCCAAUUGGGCAGUCAACCUUGUGCAACUGGACAGCUUAUAAGCCAACUAGUUUCACUAAGGCAAGAAAUAACUAGGCAGAAAAAUAGUUAACUAAAGGCAGCCAGCUGGGUAUGAUAAUUUGUGCAACUGGGACAAACAAAAAGCCAACUAAUAUAGCCAACUGGAAUAUAUGUAUAAUUAGGUGCACCAGCACGGCACCUACAGGGGCAACUCGAACACGGAAGUAGAGCAACUUUUGCAACUCAAACAACAUAUAGACAACCUAGUACAAAAUUAGGAAGCAAACCUAAGCAUGAUAACCUAGCAGCCAACCUAGUACAAUGUAGAACAUGUGGACAACCAACUAGUAUAUGGAUGCAGCCAACUGAACAACAUAUAGACAGUCAACCUAGUGCAAAAUAGCAAACCAAGUAAGCAGGACAAGUAGUGCAAGUGUAGAACAUAUGGACAGCCAACUAGUAAAACUGAUGCAGCCAACUGAGCAGUCAACUUGUGCAACUGAACAGUGCAUAAGGACAGCCAACUAGCAUGUGAAUGAAGCCCGGAUAGAAUUUUGUGCAACUAAUAGAAAAUCUCUACCUAAAUCUCUACCAACUUGUGCAACUGAACAAUAUAUAGACAACCAACCUAGUACAAACAGGAAGCAAACUAAGCAUGACAACUAAUGCAAAGUGCAGAACAUAUGAACAGCCAACUAAAAAAGGGAUGCAACCAACUGGGUAGAAUUUUGUGCAACUAAACCAAAAACUAGUUCAAUCAGCCAUUGCAUCGCACACAUCUAGGACAUCAUCUACCAACAACAAAAACCGUAACAAGGACCAGAACAUGGUAUAUGGACGGUAUAUUGGGCGCACACGUACCUCAAACCGCAAAUUCCCAAGCACCACUUGGCCAUGACCAACAAAACACUCGGUAAUGAAUCCCCACCAUCACUACCCCUUACAACCGCACAAAAUCAAAGCAAGCACAGAAAGGGGCAGAAAAUGGACCCUAUGCAGCCCGCCAGAUCCGCCACUGUCAACCCGGCCACAGCCUCAUCCCCAGCGACGAGACAGAGAGGGGAAGGACAACAAAAGGCCUCUGCGGACGUCUGCGUCGACCGCAAAUUCCAACAACCACUCCACCGACACCAACACACCCUCCCACCAUGAAUCCCCACCACCACUUUCCCUUGCCGCCGCACAAAUCCAAGGACAUGAGAGUCCAACGGAAGCACACACAACACGUCUACACCAAAUCGACCAUACGAGGCAGUUGACGCCAUAGGAACCCUAGGAAUCCCAGCCCGCCAUUUCCGCCACCGACGGCCUCGAGACGACCUAGACCCCCGGCGAUGAGACAGAGAAAGGAGGGAUGCGGGAUGCACUGGGUACUUGCAACGCCGACGAGGGCCAACAAUGAAUCCCCCCGCGGUCCACUGGAGAUUUGGAGAGCAGCGGCGCGAAUCGCCCUGGAGCGAGAGCGAGGGCGGAGGAGAGGAGCGCAUAAUGGGAGGAACGGGAGAGAAAGGGGGGAGAAAGGGCGAGAACGACUCGUGUUUCAAAAACGGCCGCCCACAAUCUACGCCACGCCCGCUUACAUGUGGGUCCACGCUCGUCCCGGAUAAGGACAAACCGCCCAUGAUGCGCGGUUGCACGAAAUCGACCAGAGACACCUCGCACUCACGCGAUGCCGAUCGCGAGCGAUCGUGCGGUCGCGGGCCGGCCGCCCGUUCUCUCCAAUUAGUGCGUAUGCACUUUUAAGGUUUUAGGUAGAAAAAUUAUUGAUCAUAUAUUAAAAAAUGAUGAAAUUUUUUGAUCAUGCAUAUAAAAAAUGUUAAUCAAGCAUUUGAAAAAAAAUUGAACACAUAUUUAAAAAAUAUUAAUCAAACAUUCAAGAAAUGUCAAAUGUGCAUAGAAAAAAUAUUGACCAUGUGUUAAAAAAUGAUGAUUAAAUUUGAUCAUGUAUAUAAAAAUGUUAAUCACGCAUUUGAAAAAAAUGUUGAACAAGUGUUUAAUAAUGUUAAUCAAUAAUUUAGAAAAUUUUAAAUGUGUAUAUAAAGAAUAUUAAUAAUAUACUUAAAAAGUUAAUAUUUUUCUAUGAAAACUAGAAAAAAUGUUGACCAUGUAUUAAAAAUUGUUAAUCUUGUAUUUGAAAAAUGUUAAAACUGUGUUUAGAAAAACUUUAUAAUUUGUAUUGGAAAAAUAUUAAAACUUUGUAUAGAAAAAAUGUAUAAUUUGUAUUGAAAAAAUGUUAGACAUGUAUUAGAAAAUUGUUGUUGAUAUAUACGAAAAAUGUAGAAUAAUAACCAAAGAACAAAGAAAACCAAAAUAGAUACAAAGUAAAAAAAGAAAAUGAAAAAUGAGGAGAAAAUGCAAAAAAAGGAAAUACCGGAGAGGAAAAAAAAGAAACGAAUAAAACAAAUAAAAAUCAAAGAAAACCGGCUCGAAUAGCCUCAAGGAGGAUGCACCCCUAGUUCUAACAGCGAAGGGGACUUGGGCGGAGUGGUUAUCGCAGCGAGGGAUCUCCCUGGAGACCAGGGAUUGAUCCUGAUUUCACACCUUUCUUGUGCUCUUUUUAUGUAAUAUGUGCGCUUGAAUGGCUGGCCCAAUACAACGUGAGGGGGAAAAAAGCUUCAGCAAGAGAUGCUACUAUCUCGCUUAACGCGAGACAUAGCCCUCGCGACAGACCACCGCCGAUGAUCUGUCGUGAGCUCUAGGCCGAGGAGGCCUGUAAUGAAGCCCAGAGAUAGACACAGAGGCUGUUGAACUUGAGGCUCUAUUUCCAUCAAGGUGUUGGAUUUAGGCCUCACUUGCAUAAAGAGAACGACAUUGCUGUGCAAAUGACGUUCGCGGCAGAAAUGCGCACGAUCCUCUAAUCAAUGGGGAACAAGUGUUGCCCAACCGAAUCUGAUGGUUGCCGCAGCUUGUCGGCUGUAAAUCGGCCGCAAUUGUGUCGUCCGUAUAGCAGUCGUUGUAAAAGAAACUUCCCUGAUUAUAAAGUGUACAUGCAUUUUGAACACUAAUUUUGACCACUACUUUAACCAACAAACCACCAGCUAUAUGUCACAGUCAAACAAAAGGAAGUCAAACCAUGUUGGAUGGUUAAAAGGACAAUGAUAUCCCAGUCCUGGGAUUCAAAACCUAUAAUUGAAGCUGAUGCUCAUUCUGGAUUUAUUUCAGGCCUUCCGGCGACGAGAGUUCAGUGGAAUGAAGCGUUCCUGUCAACUACAAAGGCAUCGGUGGUGAUUUUCUCAAUCACAAGAUGACGUGCCCGUCAACUACAAAGGCAUCGGUGGUGAUUUUCUCAAUCACAUGAUGACGUGCCGGCUCGGUCUUUCGAAUUUGCUCAUAGAGGCAAGGUGUGCAUUCAUAGGGAGGAAUAUAUGCGCGUAUGUAUGAGUGUCUGUGUCUGUAAAGAUAAAGAUAUAUUCAAAGAUACAAAAAUAGAAACAUUACACGAUGUAGAUACGGGUGGGCUUUGGGCUUGGGUAUGUGAUUACUGUACCCGCCCCAUACCCUAUCCAUGCCAUCCUUAAUCCCCUAAAAAAUGCCAUCCUUAAUGGAGUACAAAUACUGAAACCACUUACAUGAAUUUUCCAUCCAAAAUAAUAUUGCAUUUGUUACAUUUUACAACAAAGACUCGUGAAUAAUAGAGCCUAACACUAUGCUCCAUUCAGCAGUGCCCAAAUAGUGAAGUAAGCAUUACAGCAGUUCCAUUAUUUAUUCCACCACUUUCAAUGUUAUUUACAUGUAAUCGUGUCGUCAGACAACAGGAAGUCACAUUAGUUUUCUCUCAAUGGCAGUACCAAACGUCAAAAUAAUGAAAUCAGAUGGAUUUUACUCUACAGCGCAGCUCGAUCCGAUGACCGAAAACACAUUUCAGUAUCAGCCAUUCCAUCAGAGCCUACAAGCAAUAGCUUGUCAGGAUAGGCUUCGAUACGCCCGAAUGCACUGGUGCCGGGAGGACACUCCAGCGCAGCCUCGAGGGUGCGAUGGUGCACGCCGUGGGAGUCCACUGAGUAGCCACCCUUGUGGUCGUGCCCGGCAAAGCAGGCCCUAACACAGUUGUAUCGUCGAACGAUAGACAUCACCUCAUCAUAGUUCCACAUAAGAGCUGCUGGGUACACUGCGCCAGGGUCCAUUGGGAGAUGACUGCAUAGGAUGACGUUCUGCCGGCGGUCCGAUGCAUCCUGGAGGACAUCGUUGAGCCAGGACAGCUGCUCCUUGCCAACUGCACCAUUGAACUUCACAAACCGCCUGUCGACGCCAAAAAGACCGUCAGGGCUGUUCUUGUCGGUGUUUGGGUUCUUUUCAUCGAGGAGCUUCAAUGCUGCUGCGGUUACAGGAUGAUCAUGAGGCCAGCCAAGUGCGCUGAAAUCAUAAGCAUCCAGAACAACAAAUCUGUACUCAGGACAUGGUGAGAAGUCAUAAUACGCGCGAUCAGAAUCCGUCGGCAUCUUCAACAAUGCCACCAGCUUGCUCCGAGGAAGGUUGUAGAGGCAAUGGUUGCCAAACAUGUGGUAGGUCGGGCCAUCGAACUUCUCAAACUCGUCAAUGACCUUCUGCAUUGCCCACAACGACUUGUCCUUUGGGCAGAACCCGUCGAUGGUGUCUCCAAAGUUGAUGGAGAAAUUGAUAUUGCCUUGCUCAUUCCAUGUGCUGACAGCUCUUUGAAGGACGCUGAUGCUGUGCCGGUAGUAGCGUGGGACGCCGAGGAACGAGCAGCCGUCUGGGAUAUCGGCGUACUGGACAUCAGCAAUGAUGCCAAAUGUGAACAAGGGCUUCUUGGCAGAUGCAUGGGCUAGUCCGUUUGCGGCAGCCAUCACGAGAACUUCAGCGUCACCAGUCCUUCGGAAUCCCUCUUUGCAGGGAAGGCAGAAUUAGAUUCUGGAAUAGAAACGCGUUGCCCCCGUGCUGGAACCUAUAAUAUGAGCCAAGCAUUAUUUGUUCAGAAUUUGGGGGAGGGGAUCACUAUAUAUCACUUUGUCACAUUAAUAAACAGUAUCAAGCAGCGUAGCACAAUGCAUAUCAACAUCGUAGCAGUAAAAGUCUCUGCGUAUAGAGCCCUGCUAUAGAGCCUAGAAUAUAAGCCAGGCAAUGUUUGUUCAGAGUUCCGGUGAGGGGGUUAGUAUAACUUAGUAUAAACUAUAAAGCAAAGGAGCGCAAUGCAUAUCAACAUCACAGCAGUAAAAGUCUCUGCUUAUGGAAUCGUUGUGUUCCAUAAAAAAAAAAGGGUAUCUCCUUAUUCUUCAAAUUUUGUAGUGUAAAGCGUCAUUUCACCCACCCUCAGACACUAGCUAGUGGAAAUGCUACGAUAUUUCUUGACUUAGGGCUUCAGGAGCUCCUGAGAUUUACACGACGCGCGGAGACGCAGCCGAGCUGCCUGUAAUCGAAGCCUACGAGCUGCAGUGCCGAGAAACAAAGCGACCAGACCAACAGAUUGCAGCGACCAAACGAUCACAGGAGGAAGGAAACAGGGGAGGAUGGAUUGAUUACCGGCGCAGCGACAGGGGCGGCGAGGUAGGCUGCGGCUGCCGCGAGCGGGGUGGGCGGACUCCGGCGGGAUCUCACGCGCGCUGGGUUGGUAGAUCCCGGAUCGGACGGUGGAGUCCAGAAGCAGCGAGCAGCCGGGAGGGGGGAGGAGUUUGGAUCUUAACGGAAGCCUCUGUCCUCCUCUCCUCCGCCUCUCCGGCUCGGGAGAGGCAAAGACGGGGGAACCGAGUCGGACCACCACCGGUCGUUAGCCCUGGGCCGAAGAGGCCCGUAACAGAGCCCAAAACUGCAAGGGGUUUAAUUUGAGGACUCGUUUUUUUAUCUCAAUUUAUUUAUUGUAAUUUAAAAUAAAAUUUUAUUUAUUUUCAGGAAAAAAUUAGAUAUAUAAAAUAAAAACAAGCACAUUUUUCUGAAUAUUUUGAUUCAUAGAUGCUUAAGUAGUUUCGAGAUGUCUAGCUUCCUCUGGUCUCAGUGCGACUCCUUUGAUCUUUUCUUGACACGCAUAACAGAUUUAGACGCAAUUAGAAUCACCUCUAAACAUACUCCCAUAUGGAUCCUUCUAGAGCGAAUUGUUUGCUCACCAAUUAUAAGUCCUGGCGCUCAUGAACAAAAGUUGACCACAAAAUAAUGAAUCAAAGAGUUGCGCCAACCAUCAAGGGUGAAAACAACAUCCGAGGAUAAUUCACAUAUUGACAUGUCAACUUUUAGAAUUUUCUAUUAGUUACAACAAAGGUAGACAAAUGCUACCCUGGAAACCUCUCUUUGGAUACUUUUUUCGUUAGUGCAUUCUCAAAUCUCUAUCAAGAUAUAUACAAGUCAUUAAAUUAAAUAGGAACAAGAUAAUACACUAUAAUGUAUCUAAAUAGGCACAAAUUAUUUUUUUAGAUGAAUGUGACUUUAUCAUUAUUUUGAUUUCUUUCAUAGAUUUAGAUGGGAUUCCGCCAACUAAAAUGUCUCAAAUUAUUCAUAGAAAGGUAACAAAAUUUCCAUGACAAAUAGAGCCAUGGUUCCACAUUUGAAUUUUUGAAUGACAAAAUUAAGUUUAAUAUUACAUGGCAUUGCAUUAUUAUGUCCAAUGAUAAAUAGUACUCCAUUUAAAAAUUUAUGCAAUGCUCGUAUCAUUGAAAAGUAAUUAUUUACAAUUUGGUGACGUGGUGAUAUGUAACAAGUAAGAAAACAUCUAUAAUGAGACAUUGGCUUUAUUUUUCUUCAUCAGUUAUUAUUUUAGGGAUGCCAACGCAAUGGAGAAAGGUAAAUGAAGAAUAGGGAUGGAAUGAUGUCAAAUAAUUUUUUGAUGUACUCAUAAAAGUCCGUCCGCUAUGUUUGAAUUCCAGCUACAAAUCGUCUAAGAUUUAUUGUGGGACAACAUGCAGAGAUAGAGGGCUACACCUUCUUCCCCAUUAAAAGCAUGACCUCAAUAAUGGCAAAAUGGAAAGGGCAAAAAAGAAAAAUGAUCUCAUCAUCAUCUUCCUAUCUUCUUUUGCUAAUUCGAUCUAGACUCUGUAAAUUCAUUUUAGAACAAAGGUCUCUUUGGAUUGAAGGGGUUUUGUAGGAAUUUUAGAGGAUUUAAAUCCUAGGGAAUUUUUCUUAUGGAACACUAUUGGACCAUAGGAUUGGUGUUAUCAAAUUCCUAUGAAAUCGAUUCCUACGCGCCCAUUCCAUAGAAAUUUCAACAUGAGCUCGGGGCCUCUUUGAUUCGUAGGUAUUUCAAAAUAUAGGACUAGGAGAAAUAUGAAUUGUAAUGGCACGCCCACUUGAAUCCUGUAAGAUUAUUAGUAAAUCACGGAAGUUUGGAAAAGAGUGUUUGAUGCAAAAAAAAAAAGGAAUAUAUAACGGGGUUUGAGUAGAUGAAAAUAUUCUUCCAUUGUAGAAUGCAAAGGAAUUGUUUGGAAUUUUUCGUGAUGGGCGAGUACUCGUCACUCUCGUGUUCAUCAUGAUUAGGAUGGCGUGCGAGUAAUCACCACGUGAUAAGGCCGGAGCGUAGCCUCGUAGGCCACGUACAUGAUGACGAACUGAUCCAUGAUAUGAUUAUUUGUUGUGAUCUGUGAUAUGAUCCAAAAAGUCUAUGAACGCGUCGAGCGAGUCAUGCGCUUCUAGAGAGUCCGGAGGCGUACGCGGCGACGCCGACUAGGCCAUGUGGCAUGCAUGCGAGCCUCUCAUUCUUCCCGGCUUUGUUUAUUGGCGGGAGGAUGGUCCCUCCAGCACAGUGAUGCCCAUACGUGCACGCAACACCUCCGCGUAGCGUCGGUGCAGGACCAUAUGAUAUGAACAUCAUCGCUAUAAAUAAACCGUUCAACCUGCAUACCAAUUCGCAGCAACUCGACGACAAUACAAUACAACACGAUACACCACCAGUUCAUCUUGUAGCACAUCGAUCGGAGUAAAGUGCGUGAAAAUCAAGGAUAAUGGACGCGACCAACAAGGCGACCGGGCACGGCGGCGCCACCGGCCCCGCGGGGAACCACGGCGGGGCUCCUGCCGGUGCUGGUGCCGGGGGCGUGCAGCAGCUCCAGGCGACGAGGGACGACCGCAAGACCGACGGUGGCCUGGGCCGUUCCGGCGGGCCCACGGGGAACCACGGCGGUGCUCCUGCCGUCGGCGCGGCCGCCGCCGGUGAGAAGAAGGGCGUCGUGGAAAAUAUCAAGGAGAAGCUUCCCGGCGCCGGCGGGCAGCAGUGAGAGCGUCGAGUCACUGAGCUACAUGUACCACACAGCCUCUGGCACUACGUGUAAAAAGCUCAGCCACGCUUUUACAAAUAAAUAACGAGCUGUGUAUGUAUGCAUGCAUGUACCGAUGUACUUGUCUUCCAUCGGAAUAAAAAUACUUGUGUUUUGUAAGAAUUUGAACGGGAAAUAUAUUUUCAUUGGCGUACAGGGUUGAUUUUCAUGUUUUUGCGUUUUCCCCCAAUGUUUCGGCUUCGACUAUGUGUCCUAUACAUAUAUGUUUACUCUCAAAAAAAAAAAGAGUCAUUCCCAGAGCUAGUAAAUAAAAUCCUACACAGAAACUGGGUUGACCUCCCAAUGAAUGCAUGAUUAGUUGCAGACUACUAUUUUCAUUACAUGACUUGAACUUAUAACAAAAACAAAAUAUAUUAAUGUUCACAGGUUUUUUUCUCCGUAG